AUUUAUGCGGGUGGAAUAUAGCGGUGAUUAUACCGUCAGACGUGACAUCUCCCUCCUUAGGGAAGUUCGGUCCCCGAACUUUUAUUAGAUUCUAAAAUGUGCUUGGCAGUGUAAGAGCUGUGUUGCUGCAGUUGGAUUUAUGUAAAUCGAGGGUUGGUUAUCUAUACUGUCACCGUGAUUUCGUUGGAUGGAUAUGAUAAGGAUAAAUUAAAAGU